CGGUGUUCAACUGGCGUGUCCGCGGGACGUCCUGCCGGUGGGCUUAGCCCGCAAGGGCGGCCCAACUUCAAAUCCCAUCGCGGUGCUCUUCACUGAGUGUCGAGGUGGGCCGGCACGUUUACUUUGAACAAAUUAGAGUGCUUAAAGCAGGCUAAAACUUCGCCUGAAUACUGUGUGCAUGGAAUAAUGGAAUAGGACAUCGGUUCUAUUUUGUUGGUUUUCGGAACCCCGAGGUAAUGCUUAAUAGGAACGGAUGGGGGCAUUCGUAUUGCGACGUUAGUGGUGAAAUUCUUGGAUCGUCGCAAGACGGACAGAAGCGAAAGCAUUUGCCAAAAACGCUUUCAUUGAUCAAGAACGAAAGUUAGAGGUUCGAAGGCGAUCAGAUACCGCCCUAGUUCUAACCAUGAACGAUGCCAGCUAGCGAUCCGUCGACGUUCCUCCGAUGACUCGACGGGCAGCUUCCGGGAAACCAAAGCUUUUGGGUUCCGGGGGAAGUAUGGUUGCAAAGCUGAAACUUAAAGGAAUUGACGGAAGGGCACCACCAGGAGUGGAGCCUGCGGCUUAAUUUGACUCAACACGGGAAACCUCACCAGGCCCGGACACCGGAAGGAUUGACAGAUUGAGAGCUCUUUCUUGAUUCGGUGGGUGGUGGUGCAUGGCCGUUCUUAGUUGGUGGAGCGAUUUGUCUGGUUAAUUCCGAUAACGAACGAGACUCUAGCCUGCUAACUAGGCGUAUUUUCGACAUCUCAAAGGUCCGUCGUCCCGGCCCUCGGGUCGUGGGCGUGCGCGAUUUUUACUGUCGGCGUACUAUCAAUUCUUCUUAGAGGGACAGGUGGCUUCUAGCCGCACGAGAUUGAGCAAUAACAGGUCUGUGAUG
rnacentral:rRNA from 1 species